rnacentral:rRNA from 1 species
AUUGAACGCUGGCGGCAUGCCUUACACAUGCAAGUCGAACGGCAGCAUGGAAGAGCUUGCUCUUCUGAUGGCGAGUGGCGAACGGGUGAGUAAAGCAUCGGAACGUACCGUGUAGUGGGGGAUAACGUAGCGAAAGUUACGCUAAUACCGCAUACGCACUGAGGUGGAAAGCAGGGGAUCGCAAGACCUUGCGCGAUUGGAGCGGCCGAUGUCAGAUUAGCUAGUUGGUGGGGUAAAGGCCCACCAAGGCGACGAUCUGUAGCUGGUCUGAGAGGACGACCAGCCACACUGGGACUGAGACACGGCCCAGACUCCUACGGGAGGCAGCAGUGGGGAAUUUUGGACAAUGGGCGCAAGCCUGAUCCAGCAAUGCCGCGUGCAGGAAGAAGGCCUUCGGGUUGUAAACUGCUUUGUACGGAACGAAAGGUCUGGGUUAAUACCCUGGGCUCAUGACGGUACCGUAAGAAUAAGCACCGGCUAACUACGU